rnacentral:rRNA from 1 species
AAACUAGGGGAUGAUACCCUAUUAUUAAAGAGCUAUAAAUUGUAAGUAAAUAUUAAUUAUGAAAGCAAAAAAUUAUGGCGGUAUUUUAAGCUUUUCAGAGGAAUUUGCUCUUUAAUGGAUAAAACACCUAAAUCUUACUUAAAUUUGUCAAUUCAAUUUGUAUACCACUAUGUAAUUAAUUAUUAACUUUAAUUAAUAAAAUUUAUAAAAAUUAAAAAAAAUUAAGUCAAGGUGCAGUAAAAAUUUAAGGAUGAAGUGAAUUACAUUUCUUUUAAGAGAUUAUAAAUUUUAAAAUUAGUUUUAGGAUUUGAAAGUAAAAUUAAAAUAAAAUGUUAAUUUGAAUCAAGCUCUAAAAUAUGUACAUAUCGCCCGUCACUCUUUAUUAAGAUAAGUCUGAAACAUAGUA